rnacentral:siRNA from 1 species
UAUACACAUGUGACACACGGACU